GCCCACCGCGCGGCUCGGCUGGGUCCUCUGCCCCGGCGCGUCGGCGGCGUGCGGAGUCCUGGGGAGCUCGAGUCCAUCCCCCCAGAGGCGCGCCUCACCCCUCCUGCGCCUCCCGCUGGCCCCGGCCUGCGCCCCCCCGCCGAGAUUGAUGGUAAGGUCCCGCCUCCCGUUGGUGGUCUCCGGCUUCGUUAGGUGCGGGCUGGGCUCCUAAACACUGCACCCCACCCAGCUGCCUCUGCCUUUCCACCUGUUUAUCGAGAAACCUCACAGAGCAUCUCUACGCUGCUGAGUCCUGGGAACCCUGCCCAGUGAGCCCAGGCGCUGCCCUUGGGAUGCUCAGUGUCUGCCUCUCCCCUGGGCCAGGCGCUUCCCAGGUUCGGGAACCUCAUCACUCUGCCCCAGUGCGGUCCCGGCUCGGCAUAGCAGCUCCGUCAACAGUGGACUGACCAAUGGAUGAGUACAGUAGAGUCACAGACGAAGAGCUGUGGGAGCACUGAGAAGAGAAUGGUAAAUUGGGAAGGUUGAGAGGAGCUGAUGUUGCGGCUGGACCUGAGAUGAUGAGUUCAAUUCUGCCAGCUAGAGAGGAAAGAGAGGGGCGUCCAGGCAGAAGCUACAGCCUGGGUGAAGGCCUGGAGGCAGGGACAACGCUGAUUCGAGGAUCCCGGAACCUAGCAUGAGACCUGGUACAGGGAAGAUGUCAGAAAAAGCUUAUUGACUUCCUCAAGGGUAAGGACUGUAUCUUUUUCUUCUCGUUGCCCACUCCCUGCCUCUGCAGUCAUGUGCACUCUAGGGACCUGGGAAAUACAGUGUGGGAUCCAGUAUUACAUUUUGUGUUACCCGGAAUAACUGUUGUCAUCGUUUAUCCAUUUAUUCACUUGUUCACUCAUUCAAUACAUUUAUCAGGUAAGUGCUCUUUGCCAAGACCUGUGUAGGUACUGCAGAUAUACUGGUGAGGAGAAAGGCUGGGUAGACCCAGUCUCUGCCCUCCUGGAGCUUUUGAAGUUCAAGGUCAAGCUGAGAAGAGGGAGUACACUCCUCACUAGAAUGUUCAGCAAAGGGGUCCUUUAGGGAAAGACCAGAAACUGAUAUGAAUGUAGCCCUGACCGUGUGUAUUACACUGCACAUGCAUCCUGUUAUUUAGGCUUUACAGCCCUGGAGGUAAGUGUUCACAACAACCUUAAAAUGAGAUGAAGAAACUGAGUCUUACAAAGGUGAUAGCUAGUUAGAAGAAGAGCUGGGACUGGAAUCCUGGUUGUUCUGAUGCCAAAGCCCUUGCUUGUUCUAAUUCACCUGGGCCUGGAUGGGAGGGAGAAUGGCAGAGUGAGGGGCAGAGGGAGAGAGGGAAGGAGAGAGAGGGAACCUGAAUCUAGGUUUUUAACCACCUCCUCAGUCCUGUAUUGGGAUGGUGCUGUGGAGGUGGCUUGGGCAGGAGGCAUAGCCUAAAUCUGGGGCUUUUCCAUCACUGCCAUUGGGCAAUCUCCAGAAUUAAGGUUGUCAUUUCUUGUGCACCUAGUGUUGAGAAAGAGGCUCAGACCUGAGAUAAACUCAGGGGAAUUUGAACCCAGGCAACUAGCCCAGUGUGGCCUCUGCCAGGCUACUCCCCUUGGGCCUUGAGGCAUGUUUUCUACAGCAGUUUGGACACUCUUUAUGGCCCACACUUCCCCUCUUGUCUGCCCAAACCUCAGUCUUAUACAAGGUGCAGAUGGGGAAGAAAUGGCUUGGCCACUCUGAGAGCCCUCCAUUAGGACAUUUCAACUAAGAUAUCAAAUAUCUUGGCACAAACUUGCUCAUAAUAUUUACUCAUUAUCCUUUUGAUAGCUGUAGGAUCUGUAGUGAUGUUCCUUCUUUAUUCCUAAUACUGGUAAUUUUUGUCUUUAUUCUUUUUCUCUUGACCAGUCUGACAGGAGGUUUAUCAGUUUUUUUUUUUUCC